rnacentral:rRNA from 1 species
AGCCACUGCUAUGGGGGACCGACUAAGCCAUGCGAGUCAUGGGGCGCCUUGCGCGCACCGGCGGACGGCUCAGUAACACGUCGGUAGCCUACCCUCGGGAGGGGGAUAACCCCGGGAAACUGGGGCUAAUCCCCCAUAGGCCUGAGGUACUGGAAGGUCCUCAGGCCGAAAGGGACUCUGUCCGCCCGAGGAUGGGCCGGCGGCCGAUUAGGUAGUUGGUGGGGUAACGGCCCACCAAGCCGAAGAUCGGUACGGGCCAUGAGAGUGGGAGCCCGGAGAUGGACACUGAGACACGGGUCCAGGCCCUACGGGGCGCAGCAGGCGCGAAACCUCCGCAAUGCGGGCAACCGCGACGGGGGGACCCCCAGUGCCGUGGCAUCGCCACGGCUUUUCCGGAGUGUAAAGAGCUCCGGGAAUAAGGGCUGGGCAAGGCCGGUGGCAGCCGCCGCGGUAAUACCGGCGGCCCGAGUGGUGGCCGCUAUUAUUGGGCCUAAAGCGUCCGUAGCCGGGCCCGUAAGUCCCUGGCGAAAUCUCACGGCUCAACCGUGGGGCUUGCUGGGGAUACUGCGGGCCUUGGGACCGGGAGAGGCGGAGGGUACCCCUGGGGUAGGGGUGAAAUCCUGUAAUCCCAGGGGGACCGCCAGUGGCGAAGGCGCUCCGCUGGAACGGGUCCGACGGUGAGGGACGAAGGCCAGGGGAGCAAACCGGAUUAGAUACCCGGGUAGUCCUGGCUGUAAAGGAUGCGGGCUAGGUGUCGGGUGAGCUUCGUGCUCGCCCGGUGCCGAAGGGAAGCCGUUAAGCCCGCCGCCUGGGGAGUACGGCCGCAAGGCUGAAACUUAAAGGAAUUGGCGGGGGAGCACUACAAGGGGUGGAGCGUGCGAUUU